GACGAACGCUGGCGGCGUGCUUAACACAUGCAAGUCGAACGGAAAGGCCCUGCUUUUGUGGGGUGCUCGAGUGGCGAACGGGUGAGUAACACGUGAGUAACCUGCCCUUGACUUUGGGAUAACUUCAGGAAACUGGGGCUAAUACCGGAUAGGAGCUCCUGCUGCAUGGUGGGGGUUGGAAAGUUUCGGCGGUUGGGGAUGGACUCGCGGCUUAUCAGCUUGUUGGUGGGGUAGUGGCUUACCAAGGCUUUGACGGGUAGCCGGCCUGAGAGGGUGACCGGCGACAUUGGGACUGAGGUACGCCGCAGACUCCUACGGGAGGCAGAAGUGGGGAGUAUUACGCAGUGGUCGGGAGCCUGAUGCAGCAACGCCGCGGGCGGGAUGACGGCCUUCGGGUUGUAAACCGCUUUCGCCUGUAACGAAGCGUGAGUGACGGUAAUGGGUAAAGAAGCCCCGGCUAACUACGUG
rnacentral:rRNA from 1 species